rnacentral:lncRNA from 1 species
UUUGUUUGUUGGAUCUCAUGGCUUACCCUGAGGUUCACUUAAUUAAUUAGUCUUCAUCUGUAACUGAUAAAGACUACCUCUACUUUUUUUUUUUUUAUUACUUUUUUUUAUUAACUUAAGUAUUUCUUAUUUACAUUUCGAGUGUUAUUCCCUUUCCCGGUUUCCGGGCCAACAUCCCCCUAACCCCUCCUCCUCCCCUUCUUUGUGGGUGUUCCCCUCCCCAUCUUCCCCCCAUUGCCGCCCUCCCCCCAACAAUCACGUUCACUGGGGGUUCAGUCUUAGCAGGACCCAGGGCUUCCCCUUCCACUGGUGAUCUUACUAGGAUAUUCAUUGCUACCUAUGGGGUCAGAGUCCAGGGUCAGUCCAUGUAUAGUCCUUAGGUAGUGGCUUAGUCCCUGGAAGCUCUGGUUGCUUGGCAUUGUUGUUCCUACCUCUACUUUUUAUGUUCCCCCAAGGUGUUUAUUGUGAACGCUGAUUCUCUCCUGAACGUUUGGUCCAUGUUUUAUUAAGAUCAGAGAAGAAGGCAGUUCAGACCAGAAGGUGGCUGUACGCCUUCAAUCCUAGGGUUUGGGAGGCAGAGGCAGGUCGAUCUUUGGGGUUAAGAAUAAAGAAGAGGUCUGGGGAAGGGGAUUCUGAACCUCAUAACUCCCUUCUUCACCCAGAAUUGAAAAGAGAGACAAAUACAGCCGAA